GGGCCCGUAGCUCAGCCUGGUGGAGCGCUCGGCUGAUAACCGAGAGGCCGGGGGUUCAAAUCCCCCCGGGCCCA
rnacentral:tRNA from 1 species